UCACCUAUAAAGCAAAAUCCAUUUCCUGCCUUGAACAAGAGCAGGAAGUGAAGAAUAAAGGGAACGUCUAGAGUGGUCAGUCAAAAGCAAAGAGGGCUCUGAAAUGUCAGGUAUAAGAAUGGCUGUUGUUGCUGUGUCACCUUUAUCCUGCAUCUGCUUCAUCUCCAAGCCAUCGUCCUCAACAGUAUUCCCCAAAAGUCACCUCUCGCCGGCGAAUUCACUCUCCCACCACCACCGCCGCGACGAGCUUUACCACCACCAUAACCGCCGAUCUCCCUCUUCUCCUUCUGAUCAAGCCAAUGACUCUUCUUAUCACCUUCCUCCUCCACAAAGCUAGAUCCUUUCACUUUACUCUUCCUAUCUUCCUCGAUAUACUUCACCGGGAACAUAUCAUUUGAGAUCGACAGAGGGUGUUUGAGCGUGACGUAAGCCUUCUUGUAGUCAGCCUUGGCUAUCAGCAGCCCGCCGCGCUUCUUCUUCUUCCCGUCCAUGUUCAGAGUGUUCACCUUCUCGAUCUCGAACCCGUAGAGAGACUCCAGGACUCUCUUGAUCUCGAUCUUGGUCGCGGAUGGGAUCGUUUUCAGCGCGAACUCGUGAAUGUUUGUGAGCUUCGUCGGCAUCAGAAGCUUGAUCGGGAGGUUCGCGAAGUGGACCACUCGUCCUCCCAUUCCUACGGAGUUUCUUCACUUCUCUGAUAGGUUAAAAUGGUUCUUCUACGGGAAAGGGUUCUUCGUCUUCCUCUUUGACUUGUACCUUAAUGGGCCGAUUACUAAUUAAAUGGGCUAAAUGAAGCUUUAUCCGCUAUGCGAAUAUGACUUAAUGGGCCGAAUUAACUUUUUAACAUUAAUCUAAUAUUUUUUAUUUAUAAAUCAUUACAUAAUGUUGUGUGUCUGAAAGUUUUACUUACAAUCUUAAACCAUUUAUGAUUAUAAUUCUAAUUACAUUUCUAAACAAUGUUAAAUAUAUCUCAUGCAAUCUGCAUAAACCAAUUUUUAUUGAUGAAAUUUCAACCAGUUUUAUGUUUUGACAUAUCAAUUCCAAAACCAUUACAACAACAACAACAAGAAAAAGGUUUCUUGGUUACAAGUGAGUGUACUUGAGAUGUGAUUUAAGUCAAGGUAAGAAAACAUUUUAUAUAACUACACAUUUACAUAAGAUAACCUCACUUUUUUUUAAAAAAAAAAUUCCAUUUCAUCAUGAUGAUCAUCACCACCUGCAUACACCAGGCUCUGUUGUUUUGCUGAGAGCUAGAAUCUCAUCAUACUUUGAGCCAUACACAAAUCCCCAUAACUGCAAACAAAUAUCAAUGAAUGGGUGUGUGCUUCUCAUUGUUUGUCUUCAGUGAAACAAAAGGAGAGAGAGAGUUGAAGUUAAACUACCUCCACUUCCUUAACAUCAAAGUCCUGAGAGGUUGCAAGACAAGCGUUCCCGUAUGUCUCCGAGUAAGCACUUGAUCCACUUAGCCUAUUAAAAGAACACGAUGAUGAAUCAAACAAAGUGAGGAUACAUGGUUUUGUUGUUUGUCGUGGAGAUAAGAAACCUUACAGCUCACUGUCUAGAUAGAGAGCAAACCGUCCACCACCACCGAGAGCUAGAAAGUCCUUGGAGCAUAAUGUGUAAAACCUAUUUGCUCCUGUGGGACGGUAUAUAGUGGGUUGUCCAGACUUAUCAGUGAAAACAAAUGUACUGUUGGUUCCCUGACACACACAAACAACACCGCAGAGACAAAAGAACAUCAACUAGAGAUGAAAAGAAAGAAAAGAUUGCAUCUUUGUGGGUGGGGGGGAGCCAAACCUGAUACUUCUUAUCAGUUGGUAUCAAAGGCGCCUCCACAAGUCCACCAAACACCGAACCUUUCCUGUCUCCAACAACCUGAAACCAACAUUGGUUUUGUCCAUAGAUAACGAAAUGAAACCAAACGUGUUUUGAGUUUUGAGUUUACCAGUAGACUGAGACCAGGCCAGAGGAGGCUUUUUCUGUAGAGCGUUGACAGAGAUAUACCAUGCCUCCAUGUACUGAAACAAAAACACGCAGCAGAUGAAACCAAAGGAUCAAACAUUGAGAUGCUUUCAAUGUGUGUGUGUGUCUCACCUAUAAAGCAAAAUCCAUUUCCUGCCUUGAACAAGAGCAGGAAGUGAAGAAUAAAGGGAACGUCUAGAGUGGUCAGUCAAAAGCAAAGAGGGCUCUGAAAUGUCAGGUAUAAGAAUGGCUGUUGUUGCUGUGUCACCUUUAUCCUGCAUCUGCUUCAUCUCCAAGCCAUCGUCCUCAACAGUAUUCCCCAAAAGAGCCUUUCGAUCCUUGGAAAGCUUAACAGCCUGGUAAAAGUUCUUGAAAUGCUGUUUAU
rnacentral:lncRNA from 1 species